AAAGAAGACAUACCUUACACUUUGUUAAGCGAUGAUAAUGCCUUGUCAUAUGAUCAAAUAGUUAUCAGAAGAGUUCCCACAGUGUCAGCACUGGAUUAAAAUGGAUUUCUAACAGAUUCUUCAAUUUAACAGAAAUUGUUCAGCUUCUCCAGACUUACUGUCAUCUUGAAACAACGUUGGUCUCUAGGGCAGCUCAUGGCCCAGAUGGAGUUAGGUAGCGGCUAAACAAAGAAAAAGAAAGAUCUUCCUGGAAACUGCAAGGAAAGAGACCUCCUAAACCAGGCUAGCAGAGCGAUCCUUCUCUGGGACAUCACCGGAGAGAUUAUCCAAUUUCACGAACAGACGUGAUCAGCGCCAGAAGAAAUAUCUCCAUGGAGUCCUAAUACAUGUGUGGUUGACCUAGAAGGAGAGAGUCAUUUUUCCUGCUGUGCUGAAAGCAAGUGAAGAGGAGCAAAACGAAACCUGCCUGACUCAGUGAUACAAAGAUCUCCAGUCAAGAAAGCCCGCGGCGACAUGACACAGCAUAAUCCAGUACCUCUCCCAUCAUCACUGCCUCCGCGUUCAGGCGCUCCGGAACAGAAGGUACUGGGAAAAGCCUGGCAGCAAUAAAUAUACAGCAGAAAGUCUGACUCGAAAACAGGGAAAACAAACCAACCGGUUGAAGAACUCCUCCUCCUCAUAACUUUUCAGAAUAAAAAUGAAGAUGAAACACUUGCCUUGCUGUACUGAAGGCACCUUGAUAAAACAUUGUUUUAAGAGAUUCCAACCACACGACUAUAGUCAUUAUAACGCAGAUUGAUUCAGAAAGGAUUUAAUUAAUUUAAUGCAUCUGGCAUUAAUUAUUAUUCUGCAUUUAUAAUGUAGGAUUUUUAUUAGCUUAAUGGUUUUAUACAUUUAUCAGAUAGUCACUGAAGAAAAUUUCAGUACUCAUAGAGCAGCUGAAUAAAUCAUCAUUUUUUUUUCUUUUUUUUACAGUUUUAUUACAAUCACUUGCUAUUUUGGCUCUUACCAGUCAUGACAAAUUUCUGCUGCUUUCUUGAGAAAAAACUCUAUCCAAUAUCCACUAAAGUCAAUAAACAGUGCAUCAAUUGCAUUGCACUGUACAUUGUCUUUAGAAUAUCUUUAUAAUAUAGUGAUUCCUCCAGUGCUCAGAUGUUAGUGUCAAGGAUCAUUUUCUUCCAUUUUAUUUGAUUUUUUAAAUAAAUAAGUCAUUUUAACACUUAGUUUUAGAAUAACAAUGUAUGUCUUUGACAAACAUUUUUUCUUAAAUUAUCAGCAUUCUAAAUCACACUCUUAUCUCUUCUUCAGUACUGGUUAUAGACGGGGAAAUCUAAAAAAUUCUGUCUUGUGAGGGAUACCAACAUUUUUAGAUUUAGUUUAGUUUCAAAUCAGAAUAAAAAUAUCCAAAGUAAACUUCCUCUGUAAAGGGAAUGUACACAUUUCAAUGUUUUGAAUUAACAAAAUCCAAGUGAACUUUAAAGCAAAAUAUUAAUUUAAUAUCUGGUUUAUUUCAGUAAUAGUAGUCAUACUAUAAAAGUUGAAAUAUACUUUGAUCUAGUCCUAUUGAAAAAGAAACAUCAUGAAAGGUGCUGCUUACAGCUGAUAGAAAUACCUCAUCUUAUUCU